GACCUCAUCAUUGCCAUGUGCAUGUGCUAAAAAAAGAUGAAGAAAGCAACUUGAAUGGGCGGAGACAUACCUGGCACCGCAGAGUCACCACUCAGGAGGCGCACCAAGGGUGCGACCACUAGUUAUGAAGAUGUGUGAGCAGCCAAAAAGAAAUAGCAUAUCAAUGUUACUAUGACUGAAUUAAUUAGGGAAGGACAACCUAAAGACAUAUUGUUCUACUCUGAAAUUUUUGACAUGAAUCACUAAUCUUUGGUAUUGAACUUAGGUACUUCUCGUCAUAAUCAAGUAACGGUUGGCCACCUGAAAUUGGAAGGAGGCCGAAGCACAAAAAUAGACAAAUCACUUUUUUGCACCACAUGAUUAUAGUAGCAUGCGUCAGUAUACUGACCUACAAAGAAGUGAAAAACCAAAACUAAUCUGACUUUAUAAAGCACAAAUAAAGAUCUCUACAUGUAACACUAAAUCAGAUUUCAUUUUUAUUAACAUCACCUCAUGGUUAAUAAAACGACCAAAGAAAGGGAGCCCCACCUCAUGGUCGCAGCAACUGUUGCUCAGAGAGCAUCUCCAUCUUUCCCAUCGUCAGGUAGUUGGCCCACUCCAAUGCCCAGACGCGCUGAACGACCAGCAUGAUUCGCAAGAACCGUACAAAAUGAACAAGUUCAGGCACAGGGGCAUGCUAGUGUACAAUCAGUGAAUGUGAAUACAAGAUUUAUAAUUUGCAGAAGCAUAUAAAUAUAUUCUGAUUACAAAAACAUACCUAAACCACAGGCUUCUUCAGACUUCCCAAUAUCCAAGGGCGACAGUGCAAGAUCUAGUUGUACAGGGUUCUUAAUCAUAAGUGACAUAGCAAGAAAUACUUCAGAUUCACAGCAUAAGGAAAGAUGAGAGCUAAAACAGAAUUAAUUCCUUGCUCCAGCUCCAAAAACAGAGCAGAUAAUGCAAACUGUCUGUUGAAAGUGGAUUGGAAAAUGAACAGAAUGCAGAUGUACUUUCAUUGAAACGACAUACCUAAUGAGAGCAGGACAAUGGACAAUUAUGUUCGUUCUAAUCAACAAUCAUGAGCAAAUCCUAAGCAAACAACUUUGCAAUUCCUCCCAGUGGGAGGCCAAUUUCCAGAACUUUAAUUGAUACUUCACCUCCAUCUCAGCAAGACGAGCGAGCUAUAAAAAUUAGAUAAGAAUAGACCUGGUAAUGUAACCGGUAUGGAUUGAAAUCUGGAAGGCAUUACAAUGUGUAGGGUUCAUGAAGACAUGGGAUCAUAAUGACAAAAGCCAAUGAUAAUACACCAAGUAGUGGGAUACAGUUUUGCUGAAAAAUUAUCAAGACGACAGUACAAUCCUUGAAGAUUUGAUUAUUGUAGCUGAACUUUGAACAGAGUUAGUGCUUGAAUCUAAUACUCGGAAAAUUAGUAUAUAAACCGUCUGAUUACAAUGAUCUAAGAGGUGUUCCGCGCCAAGGAACUAAUUAAUAAAUUUCAACACUAUAAGAGCACAUUUAAACUGAAAUACUUACUGUUCCAUGUCAUUCUCCUCUGUAAACUUGUCCAAAUGAUCCCGAAACACCAAAGAUUGUAGAACAUGUGACAUCCCUGGAAAGCAGGACCAUGUUAUGACUUUAGAAGGGUAGUAAGUGAAGAAGAAGAAAGCAAGAAGACCAUAUCUCAUAAUAGUACAAACUGAAGAAGAAAAUAAAAAUUCUCAGAUGUAGCAGGAAAAAUUGUAUGGGUGCUUACUGCGUACAGAAGAUUACCAUUUGUCUUAUCGCAUCCAGUUAUGCCAGCCUGUUCAUAUGCAAAUCUAUAGUCAAAAGGGGCAAAACAUUGUAG
rnacentral:lncRNA from 1 species